GACGAACCGUGCGAACGUUGUUCGGAAUCACUGGGCUUAAAGGGCGCGUAGGCGGGCUCGCCAGUCAGGGGUGAAAUCCCACGGCUCAACCGUGGAACUGCCUUAGAUACUGUCGGCCUCGAGGAAGGUAGGGGCAUGCGGAACUGUAGGUGGAGCGGUGAAAUGCGUUGAUAUCUACAGGAACUCCGGUGGCGAAAGCGGCGUGCUGGACCUUUUCUGACGCUGAGGCGCGAAAGCUAGGGGAGCGAACGGG
rnacentral:rRNA from 1 species